GAGCUGCGCUGAAUUUCCAAGUUGUUCUUGCAUCCUCUUCCUCGAAUUGCCAGAAGUCCUGGACUUCAACUUUCAAAAUAGGUAUCUAGAGCCUGCCAUCUGCAUAGCCCUGCCCUGCCCUUUUCUCCAGGUGUAGGGCUGUCCCCCACCAUUUGUCAACUUAGGGAGCCCAGAGAACACGGGGCCGGGGACAGUCUGUCCUCAGGCUUCCCGUGGCCUUCAAGGUCCUCCUGGUCUUCUCUGCCCUCUGCAUCAGAACACUGGCCUCACAGCCAACUGGCUGCUACCUCGAGACCUUUGUACAGACUGUUCCUUGGCCUGGAACUGGCUGGCUGCCUGGCUCUCACUUCACUCCAGGUCUGCUCCAAUGUCACUUUCUCAGGGAUGCCACCUGCUCCUUGCUUCCUGAAAGAACUGGAAUUCCACUCCCACCCUGGCCUUGCCCGCUUCCCUCCACCCGCCACCUGCACCCAGGUGUUACAUUCCAAAGGGCAGGUCUUUUGCUGGACUUCUCAAUCCCAGCAGGAGCUGAAGGAGUGAAGUCUGUGGGUUUGCCAGCUGCUCACCUCUCUCAGCAUCUUUAAACUUGAUGGUUCUGCGCCUAGGCACCCGGGGACUGGCAGCCACCUCUGCCAGGAACCCUGAGCUGCAGAAGCCCAGGCUGCUGCCCCUGUUCCUGAGGACCAACUUCAGCUCUUGGUUCUCCUGAAUGAGCUGCACAAGCCGCCGCAGCUCCUCGUUCUCCUGUGCCAACCGCUGGAUCUCCUGCCGCAGGCCCUCAUAGCUGCUGAGGAGGGACAUGCCCAGCAGCACGUUGUGGGAGGUGGCCGGCGGCCAGCAGCCUGGCCGGGGACAGCAGACCCACCAUUAUGAGGUCAGUGGGCAGCCCUGCCCCCACAUUCCGGAGCGUCAGGGCCAAGGCCCAGCUGUCCAUCCACUGGCCCUGGGGCUCCGCCUACCUCUGGCUUCUGGCCUUGUGGCCUGGAUGACCAGGGAUGCCCAAACUGGUCCAGGCCUCUGGGUUCCUCCAGGAAGUGCCCUCCUGGAAGCUGGAAGCUUCUUUGUCCCAGCCUAGCCCACCUGUUCACACUCACUUGCCCCACCCACUUGGCCUCUGGCCACACACUUGUAGUGUUCAUGCAGGACAAAGAACUGGGCAACUGGGCUUGGCCUCUGGGCAGUUUCAGUCAGGGAGGGCAGCCAUUGGAGCUGUGCUGCAAGGGUGUUCCCUGUUGAGUGACGGCAGGAGCUGCCUAGCAUCUGACAGAGUGGUGAGCCAAAGAGCCAAUUAGGAGGAGCAGAGGAGGGGGCUACAGACAGAGACCGAAAGGGCUGGGCUUGUUGCAGGGGUGGCAGGCCAUGGCACUGUCACAUGGACAUAGUGGCAGGUGCUCUGAGGGAGGGAGUCCAUCUAGGACUAGAAGGACUCUAGGGAGCAGGUACCAAGGAGCCACACCAGAUGAACACUAGGGCCUGGGGACAGAAGGUUCUCGGGGCAGGUUCGGUCACCUGCAAGGGUGACAAUGGAUUUGUGUUUCAGAUCAGAUAAUGGACUUUCUUUUUUUAUGCAGUCUGUGGAGCUGCUUUGAUUUUUUGCCAUUUCUUACAUUGUGACGAUCAUUUAUCUCAUAUUGUUUCCUUUUUGUCUGCUUGAUGCAUGAAGUGUCCCAGCCUGUAAUCCCAGCAGCUCCAAGUGAGGAGUAGGAAGUAUGGUGGUUGGUUGGAGAUAUAAACUGGGGACUGCCUGCCCAGGUGUGCUUGCUGGCCAGGUCCCAUAGCAGCCCUUCUGCAGAAGGAAAGGUUGCCCUGCCCACCCACUUUCCAGCACGUGUUUAAUUUCUUGUGGUACCUCUUUACUUGUAACAUGGGGAGACUGAAGCAGGAAGAUUGUGAGUUCAAAGUCAGCCUCAGCAACUUUGCAAGGCCCUAAGCAACUUAGUGACACCCUGCCUCAAAAAAUAAAAAAUAAAAAAGGACUGGGGAUGUGGCUCUGGGGUUAAGCCCCCCUAGGUUCAAGC
rnacentral:lncRNA from 1 species